GUGACCUUCAUAACUUCCCUUCAAGCAGAUAAUAGAUUCAUAUUUCAUAUUCGAUUCGAUUGUAAAGGUGUUUUCAAGUUUCUCUGCUAGUAAACAUGUGUCCAAGCCUCAGUCCAGACAAGUCAAGGCAGAGGAAGGCUAUGGGACCGGUGAAAGUCCAGUUUGGCACUGACCUGGAUGCACGUGUGCCACCAGUGUAAAAUAUGCUGACAGGUAAAAAGCAUCGGAAACGGCAGGACAACACUUUCCAAUGUUCCCUAUAAAAAGUAGGACCUAUUACUGGCGAAGAUAGGACGGGAAAAAUACGAUCCUCCACGUGGAAGUAGAACGAUGCAAGAGAUUUUGGACCUCAACAUAACCUCAAAAACGGCCGAGGUGUCAUAAUUGAAUGGAUAAUAACCUUUGUCAACUAUUCAUUCUACUACAAUGAUAGAAAAUACGCUAAAAUUGUCGUACUAAUGAUAACUUUUAAGUGGACCCCACAAAAUCGACUUUAUAUUAU